ensembl:lncRNA
CAGAGGACAGAGCAGUCUAAUCAUCCUUCACCAAUCUCAAACUUGAGUCUCAGAGCCCAUCCCUGGUCAACCCAGGAUCACAUGCUGUUCUGGCCCUACCUGUGUCUGUGGGCAGCUCUUUACUCUCUCUGAGUUGGUUUCCUUGCGUCCUGCCUUCAGGGUCUGAUUCCUCCAGGAAGUGUCCAGCAUCCAGGACAGAUAAAAAAAAGAAAGGAGUGUCACAGAGAGCCCACCCCACACCUGGACUCUGGCAUGGUAGCCAUACUCCAGGUAAUCAGACUCCAACCUGGAGUGGCCAACAGGUGACCACUGUGGCCCACCUCCCUCCCAGAGCCUGGGGGAACCUCACAGCACCAGAGCUCGGGGCUGGAAACCAGCUGGAAAGGAGCCCACUUAGAGGGGCUGAGAGCUUCAGGAAGGGAAAAGGGGAGGGAGACAGUGAGUGAGGAGGAGAAAGGGAAUAAAGAGGAAGAGAAGGAGAGAUCAAAGGAAGACAGACAAAUGGGUAGGGCAGGGAGACAGGGCUAUUGGUGGGUGUUGGUUGUGCAGCAGGGGAACCCGGGUGUGAGUCCUAGCACUCACACAACAGCCUGCCAUGUGCCUGGAAACCUGGUUGUGUGUGUGUGUGUGGGGUUAGACAGUGGAUUACCAGGACUUGCUGGCUGGCCAGUCUCACCAUGUCAGCAAGUUGCAAGUUCAACAAAAGACCUUGUCUCAAAGAUAAAGGUGGAGAACCUGGCAGUGAUGGUACACAACUUUAUUCCCAGCACUUGGGAGGCAGAGGCAGGAGGAUCUCUGAGUUCAAGGCCAGUUUGGACUACAGAGUGAAUUCCAGGCGACUCAGGCUAUACAGAGAAACCUCUUUCAAAAAACCAACAAACCAAAAACAAAAGAAACAAAAAACCCAAAACAACAACAAAAAAACAAAAAACAAAAAAACCUCACACCAAUAAAUAAGCAAAAUAAAAUUAAGGUUGAGAAUCACAGAGGAGACACCAGAUGUUGAUGUCUUAGCUCCACACACAGGUACUCACAGGUGAGUACACCAUAAACAGACACACGCACACAUACAAACAACAAAAAUUAAAUAGGUGAUACCCAAUAUUGAUUUCUGUCUUACACAAGACACACACACACACUGGAGAUGACAGGAAGAGUGCAAGAAAGAGGAGGGAAAACUAGGAGGACCACAGGAGCAUGAGUGACUGGGUAGAGCACCAUGAGGAAUGCCAGACAGAGGCGGGGAGCCAGAAAGGAGAAGGGAGAAGUGAUCAGCAGCGUGGAACAGAAUAGGUAGGUGAGUAGGAGAGACUGAAAAUCAAAGACAAGAAAGGCAGGGAAAUGGUCAAGGAAGAUAAACAGUAGAGAUGCCAAGGGAGAGGGGUAACAUAAUUUGAAUGAGGGAGGAAUGACCAUCGGGAUGGGGUGGUGAUGUUACCGUUGGGAGAGAGAUGGGUUGUAGAGAAAUGGAGGAAGAAAGAGAGUGGUUGUGACAGGGAACAGAACAAAGGCAGAUUCCAGGAAGACAGGACAGAAACGGGGUAGAGAGCCCCAGAAAGGAGGGAUGGGGUGCCUAGGGAGGGAAGGAGGUGGGAGUAGAGAAAAGAGCAGGAAGACAUGGCGGGUAGAGAAGGUGAGGGAGGGGGGCUGGGUGUACUGAACGCUCUUGAUCCAGACAGGGCUGUGUGGAGGGACCCAGGAGGACAUCAAGCCCUGGGUAUACUGCCCCACAACUUCUGAGAACCCAGCACAGGUGACAGGGAAGUCCAGAGGGAAUGGGGGGAGGUCGAAGACAGGAGACAAGGAAGAGGCAUCAGGGCAAGGCCUGAGGGAGCUAUGAAACGGGAAAUGUUAUGAUGGAGAAAUGAGCAGGGCGGUGGUGGUGCUCGCCUGGAAUCUCAGCACUCAGGAGGCAGAGGCCAGCUUGGCCUACAGAGUGAGUUCCAGGACAGCUGGAGAUGUUACACAGAGAAUCCCUGUCUCAAAAAUACAAAAGAAAAGAGAGAGAGAGAAACUAGAGUGCGUGUAAAGUACAGAGCAGAGGAAGAUAAUUUUAAAAAGUGUGAAGGUGCCAUAGGAAAAGGGGGAGGAAGAGGAGGAAAGAGAUGGGAAGAGAAAUGAGGCAGGGGAUUAGGAGGGGAUGGAGCAGGAGUAGACUGAGUUGGAGAGAGGGUAAGGAGGAAGAGAGAAGGGAGACAAAGGGGAAGAGGAGGAGGUUGUGGAAAGGGGGCACAGGAGGAAGGGACUCGGAUCAAGAGCGGGCGCGGAGGAGGAGAGGUGAGGACAUGAAGGAGGCAGAGGAUGCCCACGAAGAACAAGAGUAAGGAGAAAAGCGGAGGAAGAGAGAACAGAUGGGGGAGAAGGAGAGAAUAUGGCAGGAAGAGGGGAGGGAAGAAAAGGAGAUGGAAGAGGAAAACAGGAGUUUGUAUGGAUAAGAGAAAAGUCAAUGGAGAAAUGGGGGACGGGAAGAAGCGAGUGGAAGAGGUCAGUCCACAAGAAAGCUAAUAGGACACAGGAGACAUUAGAAACAAGAGCAGGGAGGAAAAGCAGAGGGACAGAAGAAAAGAGGAAAGAGGCACAGAAUGAAGAGGGGGAUGCAGUGUGAGCAGAGGAGGAAGGAACAAGUAGGAGGAGGACCACACUCCAGCCACAAGGGAGACAGAGGAGGAAAAGUAGGAGGGAGGACCACACUCCAGCCACAAGGGAGACAGAGGAGGAAAAGUAGGAGGGAGGACCACACUCCAGCCACAAGGGAGACAGAGGAGGAAAAGUAGGAGGGAGGACCACACUCCAGCCACAAGGGAGACAGAGGAGGAAAAGUAGGAGGGAGGACCACACUCCAGCCACAAGGGAGACAGAGGAGGAAAAGUAGGAGGGAGGACCACACUCCAGCCCCAAGGGAGACAGAGGAGGAAAAGGAGACAGGAGACGGAGGAAGAGGACAGUGUGGAUGAAGGCUAGGAAUGAGGAGCAGGAGAAGGAGAAGGGAAGUGCGGGGGAUACGGCUAAGCAGGAGAAGGUUGGGUGGGAGCAAGGAAAAGAAAGAGAAGGAGCCAGAGGAAAUGGAGGGGGGUGAGGCAGGAAAGGAGAUGGAGGAGAUAGAAAGGGGAGGCAAGAGGAGAAAGGGAUAGAGAAGAUAAAGGAGGGGAAGGAAGAAGAGAAGAUACAGGACAUGGAGGAGAAAACAGAAGACGCUCUAGAGAAGGAGACAGAGGAAGAAGAUGGGAAAGGGGAAGACGGGAGGGGGGCAGAGGAGACAGGGGAGGGAAAGAAGGAAGAGAGCGGGAUGGAUGAGAUUGAGGAGAGAAGGAAGGCGGACAAAGGGAAGUUGGUGAUAGAGGAAGACAGCAGAGGACGUUGACGGUAAAUGAAAAGGAAUAGAUGAGAUAAAAGAGGAAGCAAGAAGAGAAGAGGAGAGAAUAGCAGAGGAGGGGACGGGGACGAAGGGAAAGGAGGGGAUAGAAGAGAUGGAGGAGGUAAAGAGGGUAGACAGAAGGUAGAGGAGGGAGACAAAGGGGGAUAGCUGAGAUAAAGGAGAUGGAGAAGAAAGGGAUAGAGGCGAUAAAGAAGGAGGAGCUGGAGAGGGGCUGGAAGGGUUAGAGGCGUGGUAUAGUAGGUGGAGGGAUAGAGGAGACGGUGGAGGGGAGGAGGAAGAAGAGGGCUACAACAGAUGGAGGAGGCUGAGGGGAUGGAGGUGGGGAAGUAAGGGAAGGAAGUGACAAGAUGGAGGAGGGGAGGAGAAGGGGAGGGGUGGGGAGAUGUAGUAGGAAUAAUUAGGAUAAACAGAAGCAUGAACAGUAAGAGAUGUCAGAGAGAGGGAGGAGCAGCAGGAGCUAUUGGAUGAGAUACUGUAAAGGGGACGGAAGGACGAGGGAGGAAAAAGACGAGGAAAGGGGAAAGAGAAGGUUGAGGAUGUGGGGCAGACAUAGGGAUACACGUAGAGGGUUAAAAGACAAAUAAGGUCAGAAGAGGGGAGUGAAGAGAAAGCGGGAUGAAGAUGGAUGGUGUUAGGGCAGCAGAGGAGAGGAGCAGAAAGGAGGAGGAAUUGAGGGGAGAGAGAAAAAGAAGAGCUGAAUUAAGGAUAAAAAGGAAGAGGAAAAGGAAGAAUAAAAGAAAACUGGGCAUCAGGAGAGGACUAGAUGAAGGAAGAAAAGGAGGGGAGGGGACUAUUUAGGGGUGAAACAGGGGUUGCACAGGAGUAGAGACAGAGGGGAGAAUGUUGAAGAGAGGACAGGGAGCAGUGAGGCAGGAGCACAGGACAAUAUAAAGCAGGAGGGGAAGACGGGGAGGGAGCGGCAGAGGCAGGGCAGGAAUAAGGAAGAGGGGGAAGAAAACUAGAGAAUAGGAAGGAUGGGAAAGUAAUAAAUGUAGAAGGAAGAACAAGAGAAACAGGAUGGGAAAGAAAAAGCAGAGCCUGCAGGAGAUGCUGCGAGGAGGAAGAGCGAGAAAUAGAAGUGGAGGGGUGAGGGGGGCUGUCGAGAAGGAAGAUUCGGAACAGGAAUGAGCGAGAAAGGAGGUGGGGUUAGAGGGGAAGGGGAAGAGGAAAUGACUUAGAAGUGGAGGAGAGUAACUAGGAGUAGAAAGAGGGGUGCAAUAAGAAAUUAGAGGGAGCUUAAUGGAGAUUAAAAGAAGACAGAGGAAGAGCGGGAGAGAAAGCAGGUGUGGCGAGAGGGUGGGUGGGAAAGUGGAGGGGACACAAGGUAGGAGGAGCAGGAAGGUGAAAUAGGUCACAGGGAGGAAACAGACAGGAAAGAGCUGAGAAAGUGUCAUUUCCUAAAAUACAUUUAAGAAAAUGUCAAGAAG